GAUGAACGCUGGCGGCGUGCCUAAUACAUGCAAGUCGAGCGAACGGACGAGAAGCUUGCUUCUCUGAUGUUAGCGGCGGACGGGUGAGUAACACGUGGAUAACCUACCUAUAAGACUGGGAAAACUUCGGGAAACCGGAGCUAAUACCGGAUGAUAUUUUGAACCGCAUGGUUCAAAAGUGAAAGACGGUCUUGCUGUCACUUAUAGAUGGAUCCGCGCUGCAUUAGCUAGUUGGUAAGGUAACGGCUUACCAAGGCAACGAUGCAUAGCCGACCUGAGAGAGUGAUCGGCCACCCUGGAACUGAGACACGGUCCAGACUCCUACGAGAGGCAGCAGUAGGGAAUCUUCCGCAAUGGGCGAAAGCCUGACGGAGCAACGCCGCGUGAGUGAUGAAGGUCUUCGGAUCGUAAAACUCUGUUAUUAGGGAAGAACAUAUGUGUAAGUAACUGUGCACAUCUUGACGGUACCUAGUCAGAAAGCCACGGCUAACUACGUG
rnacentral:rRNA from 1 species